rnacentral:lncRNA from 1 species
UUGUGAGAAGGUUAUGAUUGGUAUUAUGGCAUCAGGAGCUCUUCAUCAGGGGAAAUUAAAGCACCAGGACUGAUGAGUAAGCACCCCCAUAAUAUCUGAAGGCAGCAUGCAAAUGGAAACGAUAUUUGUGGCUUAUGUUUUUUCUUUGCAUUAGAUGAUCACUAAGUUGAGGUAUGAUAAUUUUGAGAUCCAUCUCCUAG